rnacentral:rRNA from 1 species
CCUGCCCCAUGCUCCAGAAUAGCUCUUGGAAACGGGUGGUAAUGCUGGAUGCUCCAACUUGACGCAUGUCUUGUUGGGAAGUGUUUAGUGGCAUGGGAUGGGGUCGCGUCCUAUCAGCUUGUAGGCGGGGUAAUGGCCCACCUAGGCUUCGACGGGUAGCCGGCCUGAGAGGGCGGACGGCCACAUUGGGACUGAGAUACGGCCCAGACUCCUACGGGAGGCAGCAGAC